rnacentral:rRNA from 1 species
AUGAGCAGGUUGAAGGUGCAGUAACAUGCACUGGAGGCCCGAACCGUUGCACGUUGAAAAGUGCUCGGAUGACCUGUGUCUAGGGGUGAAAGGCCAAUCAAACUUGCUGAUAGCUGGUUCUCUGCGAAAUCUAUUUAGGUAGAGCGUUAGAUGAAUACCAUCGGGGGUAGAGCACUGGAUGGGCUAGGGGGUCUCACCGACUUACCAAACCUAACCAAACUCCGAAUACCGAUGAGUAAUAUCUGGCAGACACACUACGGGUGCUAAGGUCCGUAGUGGAAAGGGAAACAGCCCUGACCGCCAGCUAAGGUCCCUAAGUUAUGGCUAAGUGGGAAAGGAUGUGAGAGUGCAUAGACAACCAGGAUGUUGGCUUAGAAGCAGCCAUCAUUUAAAGAAAGCGUAACAGCUCACUGGUCUAAAUAAGGGUUCCUGCGGCGAAAAUGUAACGGGGCUAAAGAUAUGCACCGAAGCUUAGGGUUGCAGUUUACUGCAGCGGUAGCGGAGCGUUCCGUAGGCGAGUGAAGGCGAAGGGUAACCGACGCUGGACGUAUCGGAAGUGCGAAUGCUGACAUGAGUAGCGAUAAUGCGGGUGAAAAGCCCGCACGCCGUAAGCCCAAGGUUUCCUGUUCAACGUUCAUCGGAGCAGGGUGAGUCGGCCCCUAAGGCGAGG